CCAGAGCCAAGGAGAGGUACCUGAGACAGGGAGCCAGUGAAACGACGGCAAUACGGUGCAGGACCUGGGUAACCACCGGACAGCUGGUCACAGGGAAAAGGUAUUUUAACAAAACAGAUCGCUCUGACUGGCAGAGGUGGAUAUUACGUGGAAUGCACUCUGAUGGUUGCUAAUAGCACAGGCGAACAUGGCACAAUUCUGCCUGUUUUCUGAUGUACGGUGGAGAGCAUUCUGACUGGUUGCAUCACAGCCUGGUACGGAGGCUCCAAUGCACAGGAUCGCAAGAGGCUGCAGAGGGUUGUAGACUCAACCAGCUCCAUCACGGGCACAACCCUCCCCGCCAUCGAGGACAUCCUCAAGAGGCGAUGCCUCAAGAAGGUG